UACAGAGGUCUCAAGCGUUGUUCGGAUUCAUUGGGCGUAAAGGGUGCGUAGGUGGUGGGGUAAGUCGGAUGUGAAAUCCCGGGGGCUCAACCCCCGGAACUGCAUUCGAAACUGCCUUGCUCGAGUACUGGAGAGGAGACUGGAAUUUACGGUGUAGCAGUGAAAUGCGUAGAUAUCGUAAGGAAGACCAGUGGCGAAGGCGAGUCUCUGGACAGUUACUGACACUGAGGCACGAAGGCCAGGGGAGCAAACGGG
rnacentral:rRNA from 1 species